rnacentral:lncRNA from 1 species
AUGAUUUAUAUGCACCAGCUUGAGGGGGAGUGUUAGAAGUGUAAAUAUAGUAGAACUCUAAUUAUAGUAGAACUCUAGUCCAAACUGUAUUGGGAGUAGGUUAGGUUAUGUGUAUUAUAUAGGGCUCAUUGUAUCAUGUUUAAUAUGAAAGAUAUAUAUUCUUCUCCCGUGCUUUCUCACAUGUUGGAUCUCCUUAUUCUCAUUUGCUCGUAUUUAGGAGAUAUGUAUCUCAAAGUUGGUUCUUCUUC